AUGAAGGUAACGAAAUAAAAUCUGGAUCGACUUGAUGACCUACAUCUACUCUCAUUGCAGUUGACGGACCACUACAAUUAUCCUCAGUACUGCCUGGAAGAUUUGUAGAAGCUACAGCGGAUUUCUCAAAAAAUACGCCAUCUGAGGAAAAUGAUAACACAUUAAAAUUAAGAUAAAAAAUGGUUCUAAUCGAAUUGAAAUGGAGACUACGGCUUUAUGUCAGUAAAAUCAAAAAGUGAAGUUAAAAUUAAAAAUCAUUUAUUUAUUAGAUGUUAUUACUUUUAUAUUGUUUUGUUUGAAACCGACAUAGAUUUCUAAUAGAAAUAAUGGUAAUUUUCUAGUUAUGUCACGAUUACGGUGGAGUAUUUUCACUUCUCUUACCUUGUAGAUAAUCCUUUUCCUAACACUUUUUCUUAGUGGUGUUUGCGCGGAAAAUCGUUUUUCUGUCAUUUUUGCUCAUUUAAAGUUGACCAAUUUCGAGGCCAUUUAAGCCAUUUUAUCAACUUUUUGUUCUAUUUUGUAGUUUUGGUAGUUUGAUUUCUCUAAAACUAAUCGUUUUGGAUCAGUUUGGCUUAGAAUGUUCUUUCCUUUUCAGUAAAAUAACACAAUUUUCUAAAACUAUUAUUACAGUGCCUAAGCUAGAAAGGUAAUUUUCCCGUGUGGCCAAGGUCAGUUGAAGUUAAAUAACAUGGUGGAAAACAGUAUUAUUUUAUUGAAAAGGAAAGAAAAUGGGAACCCAAACUAACCUAGAAUUAUUAGUUACACAGGUAUGAAACUUCCAAAAAUACAAAAUCGGACAAGAAGCGGAUUAAAUGGCUUAAAUGGCCCCACAAUAGGUAAACUUUAAAUGAGUGAAAAUUGAUACAACAACGAUUUUCCGCAGCAAACACCACUAAGAAAAAAUGUUUGUAAAAGGAUUACCUACAAGGUAAGCAAAGUGAAAAACUCCACCGUAAUAGUGACAUAACUAGUAAAUGAAGGAAUAAUAAGUAUCUACACGAUAUAGAUUAUUUUAACGUCUGUAAAAUAUUUAAAAAAAUUAUAAUCGGAUGUUUUGUAUGUACAUAAGUAAAUUUUAGUAAAUUACUUACCUAACUUA
rnacentral:lncRNA from 1 species